rnacentral:tRNA from 1 species
UGGGAUGAGGCUCAGUGGUAGAGCUCUUGCCUUGCGUGCGUAACACCCUGGGUUCAAUCCCUAGCAGCACAA